AAGUGUUUAUAGUGAAACAACAACAUUACAAGUAAGGCAGUAUACCAUAUAAUAGCAACGUCACUGAAAACAAAAAUAUUCGGUUUUACUGGUAAAAAAUAGUUGAGAACGGUUGAUUUGUAAGCACGACAAUAUUUGGUUAAAACACUUGAACAUAGAGGUCUCCACUUGACUAUAAAAAUGCAAGUUCAAAAUGCUAACUUCACAAGUCUCCUCUCUACACGCUUCUCGUUUCGCGACUUAACUUGUAAUUGCAUUCUUACCAUGGAGACUUCAAUGGAAAGAUAAAUAAAAACGAAAUCUCACGCAUCAAUGACGAGAAUCGAACAAAGGAGAAGGACGAGGAAGCAGAGUCGAUCUCUUUGAUUCCAUUAUUGCUCGACCUAAUUGGAUUCCACCGCGCGAUCGCGGGCUGCAACGUCUAUAAACCCGCGGCCGACGAAACCAAUUUGGGCAUUCCUACGGAUACGUAGCCGGUGGAUCCGUCGUCGAUCUAUAGAUCACUCGCCGCUACCUGUGCCAGUGAUGGCUUGCCCAAAUUUUCGACCAUGCGAUCCCCGAUCGUGCAAAAGCCGCCUUCGGUAUUCGAGAUACGACCGCGGUUUCGGGGGAAACUCAAUUUUCGUGGGAUGAUGUACAGUGACAUUGUUCGAAGAAGAAAAAUACUAGGUAAGGAAAGUAGCAGCAAUGGUGGUGCUUCACAGAACCCGUAAAAGUGAUUUGUUCUGCUAUUAACGAGACGCGGAUAGCAGGAACGUUAAUGGAAAAUUAUCGACAGUUACGAGACUCGAUACACCGUUACGACUGGUGAACGUCGUAAAUAACAGUCGGUUAUAUGCUUGAAAAUACCUUAAAGGCGUGCUAGUUUCUUGCAACGUAGCGAGUUAACCUAUAACCGGAAUGUGUCGAGCGAUUUUGAACUCGAAACAUCUUUAAAACGCAAAUUUUUCAAACAUAAAUAGAAGAAACUUCGAAAAUAUUUCGCAUCUUUUUGAUAGAAAAGAAAAGUAAGUAUCGCGAAAAAUCGUAAACUUUAUUCUACUUGAAGAAAUAUUUCAUGCUUUAUUCGAAAGGAAGACAAGGGGAUUAGAGUCGUUUUAACCUCAAACGUCUUAACGUCAAACUCGAAGAAUAUGCCAUUUUCGAAGAAAAAGAAAAAUAUUAUCGAGUCUCGGCAAUCUCUUUUCUAUAAAAAAAAAAUCAAAAAAAAAAAAAAAUGGAAAUAUCAAAGAUUACGAGUUAGUUAAAAAAACGUAGAGUGACAAGUUCCAUCUUUUCCCGAAAAUAAAGGAUAGAAAAAUCAAAAGCUGUUCAAUUGGUGGAUAAAUAAGAAA